rnacentral:misc_RNA from 1 species
AGCAGCCGCGGUAAUUCCAGCUCCAAUAGCGUAUAUUAAAGUUGUUGCAGUUAAAAAGCUCGUAGUUGAAUUUCGGGAUCAGUACGCCGGUCGUGCCUUCGGUAUGCACUGGUGUCACUGGUUUCUCCCUUCUGAAGAACCAUCAUGCCAUUCAGUUGGUGUGGCGGGGAAUCAGGACUGUUACUUUGAAAAAAUUAGAGUGUUUAAAGCAGGCUCGCGCUUGAAUACAUUAGCAUGGAAUAAUGAAAUAGGACGUUUGACCCUAUUUUGUUGGUUUCUAGGAUCGACGUAAUGAUUAAUAGGGAUAGUUGGGGGCAUUAGUAUUCAAUUGUCAGAGGUGAAAUUCUUGGAUUUUAUUGAAGACUAACUACUGCGAAAGCAUUUGCCAAGGAUGUUUUCAUUAAUCAAGAACGAAAGUUAGGGGAUCGAAGACGAUCAGAUACCGUCGUAGUCUUAACCAUAAACUAUGCCGACUAGGGAUCGGAUGAUGUUAAUUUUUUAAUGACUCAUUCGGCGCCUU